rnacentral:rRNA from 1 species
CCUACGGGGGGCAGCAGUGGGGAAUAUUGCACAAUGGGCGCAAGCCUGAUGCAGCCAUGCCGCGUGUGUGAAGAAGGCCUUCGGGUUGUAAAGCACUUUCAGCGGGGAGGAAGGCGGUGAGGUUAAUAACCUCAUCGAUUGACGUUACCCGCAGAAGAAGCACCGGCUAACUCCGUGCCAGCAGCCGCGGUAAUACGGAGGGUGCAAGCGUUAAUCGGAAUUACUGGGCGUAAAGCGCACGCAGGCGGUCUGUCAAGUCGGAUGUGAAAUCCCCGGGCUCAACCUGGGAACUGCAUUCGAAACUGGCAGGCUAGAGUCUUGUAGAGGGGGGUAGAAUUCCAGGUGUAGCGGUGAAAUGCGUAGAGAUCUGGAGGAAUACCGGUGGCGAAGGCGGCCCCCUGGACAAAGACUGACGCUCAGGUGGGAAAGCGUGGGGAGCAAACAGGAUUAGAUACCCCGGUAGUC